GACGUAGGGCGCAAGCGUUGUCCGGAUUUAUUGGGCGUAAAGAGCUCGUAGGCGGCUCGUUGCGUCGGCUGUGAAAACCCGCAGCUCAACUGUGGGCUUGCAGCCGAUACGGGCGGGCUGGAGUUCGGUAGGGGAGACUGGAAUUCCUGGUGUAGCGGUGAAAUGCGCAGAUAUCAGGAAGAACACCGGUGGCGAAGGCGGGUCUCUGGGCCGAUACUGACGCUGAGGUGCGAAAGCGUGGGGAGCAAACAGGAUAGAA
rnacentral:rRNA from 1 species